AGGAAACCAUCUGGACUUGGCUCACUUUAUCUUUGCCAGAGUAAUGUGGGAACGGGCCAUUAGUUUCCACCACCUUCGUCUCAAGUUCCGAGACGCCGUUUUUUUGAGUAACCGACUCGUUUCCUUCACCGUCCUCUGUUUCUGACUCGACGAUGGAAGCCUUCGCCGGAGACUGUGAGAUAUCUUGUAAAGAACAUUCUGAGUCAGCAUCUUCGUCCAAAGACCUCUCCUCCUCCUCCGGUGAAACGAAAUUAUCGGGCAUUUCUUC
rnacentral:lncRNA from 1 species